GGGGCGGCCCCCGGCCCGCGCUGGGGGGACCGUGGAAUCCUGGAAUCAGGGAAUGACGGAAUCGUGGAAUCACGGCGUCAUCAAGGCUGGAAGAUCACCUACUGGUUUAAGAUCACCUACUGGUUUAAGAUCAUCUCUACCAGCCGUCAGCCCAGCAGCACCACCGUAACCCCUGAACCACCACACCACAUCAGCCAGCGGCAGAUGCAGACGCCUCUUGAGCACCCCGAGGGAGGGCGACUCCACCACUUCCCUGGGCAGCCCCUUCCAAGGCCUGACCGCCCGGACAGUGAAAAGUUUUUUUCUGGUCUGUAACGUCGCGGCCCUGCUUGCCUCAGCGCUCGCCGUGCCCUCAGGAGGCGGCUGCCAUCCCUCGGCCCCUCAGAGGAUGAAAGGCAGGGCCACAGGGGUGAAUAAGGGACUGAACAUCUCGCUUAGGAGGAGACACUGCGGGAGCCGGGCCUGGCUAGUCUGGAGAAGGGAAGACUGAGAGGAGAUCUCAUCAAUUCGUGCAAAUAUCUCCAAGCGGUGUCAGAGGGCAGUACCAGACUCUUUUCAGUGGUGCCCAGAGGCAGAACGAGUAGCAAUGGCCAUAAAUUAAAGCACAAGAAGUUCUACCUCAACAUGAGGAAGAGCUAUCCAUUGAGCGGAGCACUGGACCAGCUGCCCAGGGAGGGCAUGGAGACUCCCUAUCUGGAAUAAUCCAAACCCUGGACGUGUUCCUGUGUCACCUGCUCAAGGUAACCAUCUCCAGCGGGUUGGACUGGGUGAUCUUCAGAGGUGCCUCCCAACCCCAGCUAUUCUGUGGUUCUGUGAUUCUGUGAAGCCACCUCACCCCUUCCCUGUUAUCCCCCUGUGGAGUCCAUAAGCCCAGCACUGGCUGAGCAAGGUUGUGGAACAGGCAGCCUCUCAGCAGAGGUUUGGCAGCCACCUCAGCCAAUCUGUGAGUCAGGUGUGCUGAGGGGGGCUGAGGUGUGUGUACCCACACCUCACAGAAUCCACUGCCAUCCAUCCUCCUUAGGAUCCUCAAAAACCCCUGGAGAAACACACUGUUCAACUAUAACCUGAGAUUAGCUCAGUUGGUCAGAGCAUGGUGCUGAUAACUCCAAGGCUGUGACUUCCAUCCCUAUACAGGCCAUUCACCUGUGGGUUGGACUUGAUGAUCCCAUUGAACUCAGAACGUUCUGUGAUCUACAGAAGCCAUUCUGAUGCACAAGGUCUUCUGGCCAAUGUUUCCUGCAUUGCUUUGGUGACAUUCAGCUCAGCUGUAGGAACAUGUGUGGCCCUACACCACCAGGACACACUCUGUCCAAGCCACCCUGCACAGCCCGCAGCUCCUAAAGCAUGAGGUAAUGGGGAGCUGGGAGCCAGCACGAGGCAGGACUGCCAAAAAACACGUGGAAACUGAGAGACCGGUGAUGAAGUAAAAGGCCUGUGAGCGUUAAGCUACAGAAAACACAGGAAAGCUGGAGAGUGGCAGCAGUGUUGGAGGUGGCAGGAAUGUUGCUGGUUCCAAAAUGAAGCUCUAGCUAAGCCUUGUGCAAUGGAGCUCCUUUCCAGCAGCAAGUGCGCCUGGAGGGAGAUCAAAUGUGACCUACUUUGGGAAGCUGGAUCCUGGAGACCUGGGGCUCCUGUACAACAGAACCUGCUGGGUGCUCCUUCUGGUCCUUAAAGAGGGGAAAAUCCUGCAGUGCCAUCCCUGUGGCAGGAAAAGCUGGCACUUCCAGCUGCUUGUUAUAUUUAUAUAUUUUAUCUUUACCAAUCUGGUCACACACAGUGCAUGGAGACGUUCCGUAUCUUGUGUCCCAAACCCCUCCAUAUCUUGUGUUCCCAUCUAUUUUUUAAUACAUGGCCCCAUGUUAAAUGACUUUUGCUUCUAUUUUCCAUGAUGAUCAGGGCAAAGGAUGAGAAUUAUUUUAUGGAAAUGGAAAUUACUGGACCCAAAGGGAGAUCAAGGCUUGUGAGAACCUGACACACAGCUCAGGGAACAAGGUUCCCAAACCCAGAGUCCUGAAGGACCUGGAGCGUCUCCUCACUCAUCCAGUACAGGGGUUUUAAUCUGGGAGGUGGAGGGUGGUAAUGAAUUAUGGAGGAACUCCUGAAGCACUGGUUGGUUUUAAGCAGGAGGAAGUAAAGCAAUCCAGUCAUUUAGACACCUGUUAGUGUGACCUCAAGAGCAUUAAAAGCUUAAAAUAUAAAAUAAAAAGGAAAAAGCUGGGGUGUCAUGGAGACAGACAAGUAAGUUUAAAAAUGUAAAGUAAAAAUGCAUUGUGUCUUUACUAAAGAUUGAUUGCUUUUAACGAAGAUUAAACUCCUGAUAAUUGUUUCCUAGACAUGGAUAUAGAAUAGAUUUAUUAAUUUAUUCAAUAAAUUAAUGGAAAGCAGGUCCAUAAAAAAAGAUAGCUAGGUGAAAAGGGUAGGAAAGUCACCUCAAACACACACCAGCUGUGGAUGCACAAAGGGAAUUUGUGAGAUUACGAAGGGAAGAGUGGGCAGAAAGUGCCUGGAUUCCCAUGUUCCCUCUAACCAGCCUCACCUCCCCGGAUCCCAGGACCACAGCCUGGCCCGUGUGUGCUUUUGCUCUUGCACAAUAUUUUUCAGACAGAACAAAAGGUAGGAGUGAGCUGAUGGCAUUUGCUGAUGGCACAAAGCUGGGAGGCACCGGCCGUGCAGCAGGAAUAGCUGUAUUGCUGGAAGAGCUGGAUAACAUGGAGUGCUGGCACACUGGAAAUGGGAUGAAAUUUAAUAGUGGAAAGUACAAGGUCAUGCCCUUGGGAAUUGCUAACAAGAAUCUCUGCUGCAAGCUGGGAGCUCAUCAGUUGGAAAUGACAGAAGAAGGGAAAAAUCUGGGUGUAUUUGUUGAUCUCGAGAUGACGACAGACUCCCAAUCUGAAGCAGAUCUGAAAAAAAUCACAUAUCCCUGGAGGUAUUUCCAGGAGAUGGGGGAAUGUUAAUGCCAUUAUAGAAGGCUCUGCUGCACCUUCUCUGGGAUUAUGCAUGCAGCUCUGGUCACUUUUAAUCAGGGGACACAAACUUAAAAUGUGACUGGAAAGUAAUUAUAGGCUAAUCCUGAUUUUUUUCUUGUACGAGAAUCUUGAAAUAAUUUGUUUAGCCAGAAAACCUGAAUGCUGAGAAAAGAUACAGUUGUUCUUUGUGAAACUUAGGGAGUAAACACAGCAGUAAACACAUCUCCCUU